AUGUCCCAGGAAUACGACACGAACGACGAUUAUAUCUCUUAUCCAGAUACGAAAAGGAAAUCUACAACUUCUGGAUUAUCUAUGGAACGGGAAAGGCAACAAGACAACGCUGAGGGUGAAAAUGAAGAGUCCAAAGCUUCUCAGAAAGCAGCCGAAUACGUGAGGGAACUAAUGGCAGAGAAAAUAUACAUGGAUAACGCGAAACUACCCAACGCCUGUCGCUUAGUAGAUCAAGAAAUUUCAAAGGUUCAACUAGUAGGGAGACCUAGUCCUAGAGAGUACAAAUACGUAGACAUUUACCGAGAAAAACCGAUAAAAGUUACUGUAAAAGUUUUAGUACCCGUAAGAGAACAUCCGAAAUUCAAUUUUGUGGGAAAACUGUUGGGUCCGAAAGGAAACUCGAUGAAACGUCUACAAGAAGACACAAUGUGCAAAAUGGCUGUUCUAGGGAGGGGAUCAAUGAAAGACAGAGCUAAGGAAGAGGAAUUACGGAAAUCAUUGGAUCCAAAAUACGCCCAUCUUGCUGACGAUUUGCAUGUCGAAAUAUCCGCUCUAGGUCCCCCUGCAGAAGCCCACGCUAGGGUGGCUUUUGCUCUGGCUGAAGUACGUAAAUACCUUAUUCCCGACAAUAACGACACAAUCAGACAAGAACAGAUGAGAGAAAUGGAAAUAAUGACCGGCGAUGAGCCACACAGGGAGAGGGAACGGGAACUCAUCCCAAAACGCACAAUACUCAAAUCUUUGCCAGCUUCGAGAGCACCUUUACCACCGAUGAGGACAGCUACAAGGACGCCGGUACUUACACCUUCGAACACCAGGCCUGUUAUGCCAGCCAAAACGAAGAUCAUGUCGAUUUUGGACAGGGCUCGGGUUGCAAUGGAGGAUAAUUAUGGUAUUGAUGACGAUUACUAUGAGCCAGAGUAUGUGAGGAUGUCUUCAAUGUCUUCGAGUUCGUCUAAGAGUGCUUAUUAUCCGUAUGAUUAUGAUAGCGACUAUUACAGGGGUAAGUACCUAUUAUUUUUAUCUAUCAGUGACUUAAAAGAAUACAAGGAAGCGUUUUUAGCAAAAUUUGUGAUUUAAAAUUAUCUUAGCACAGCAUUUUAUGUACUGAAUUUUUAAAUUGCGCGCCAAUUGUUGAGCUUCCUCCUGUCAUACCAACCAGUGUUGCCAGAAUUGGAGGAUUUUCUUCAAUAUGAAGGAUUUCACAGUCCAAUUUCUUCGAUUAAAAAGGAUUUUUUUCCAAAAAGAAGACAAUAUGAAGGUUUCUGGUAGUUUUUUACACAAUAAAAAUUGUUAAAAUAUGUAGUAGGAGUAUUUAUUGUUUUUCCUACAUCUAUUUUUUCGCUUUAACCAUGUUUAAUUAAGGAUUAAGGAAGCCUCAGUUUAAGCUGUGGUUUAAAGCAGUGUUGCUGUCAAAAAGUCCGCACUUCGAAAUUCCUGUUAUUUUUUUAAUAAAAAGUUUAUUUAAAUACAUCUACGUCCAAAAAUUACCAGAAAUAAGUUUUUAAAAAUUUUCUCCUAAUUAAAAUAGGUAAAAUACACGAAAUUUGGUGUUUUUUCACAAGGUCUGGAAUUUUUUGUGAAGCUGAAGGAAUAUGAAGGUUUUUAAGGCUCCUUUUUGACGAAAUUCGCUCGACAAUUUCUGUUAUAAUUUAUGUUUCUAUCCUGAGAAGGGUUAGUUGUUUUUACAGGUGUACCUUGCAGUUGUUGUUGACGUUAAAUUGGAGUUAUAACAAAUUUAAAAACUAAAUAACCCUUAAAUCAGAGUGAUAUUAUAGUGCCUUAAACCUUAAUAAUAAUGUAAAAAUAAUUGUGUGUACAGAACCAAAAUCUUCCUCGUCCGAGUGGAGUAAGAUUAAGGCUUCUUCGAGUUCUCGCCACCAUGCGGAGAGCAAAUAUAGGACUUCGCCCUAUUCUCGACCCCCAAAAUAAAUUAGUUACCAUUAGAGUGCAUGGUAUUUAGUGCUAAUAUUAAAAUAACACUAGGAAAAGUAAUCGUUAAUUUAAAAAAAAAUGUUAAAAUGUUUAAUCUAAAAGAUUAAAGUAUUAUAAACUAUAUAACCAGUAAUAGUAAUUCAUUAAAUUUAAUGUGAUGUGUAUUAAAAAUUCUCCUCCUGAUUAUAAUAUUUAAAGUAAAUGAUUGUACCAUUGGAUCGAAAAAAACGGCAUCAAAGAAGGCUGCGAAUUAGUAUCGAUGAUAAUUUUUGGCAAGUUUUAUGUCAAUUUUCAGUAAAUGACAUCUAGAGAUUAAACUCGCUCAAAUUAUCAUCGAUUUUCAUUCCUCAGCCGUCUUUGACGCCGUUUUUUUUUCGAUCAUUCGGUAUUUAAUCCUUAAGAUGGAGAAAAAUCAUAAAAAAAUUAUAUUAACUGCUUUAAAAACGUUUUGAAUGAACAAAUAGAUGUUAAAAAAAGUUCUAGUCGAUAUUUAGAAUUAUAAUAAGGUGUGUGCAAUAUUAUAUAAAAUAUAAUAAAUGAAUAAUUUAAAGAACCUAUAAUAUAACGUUUCCCUAAAAUUUAACUUACCAUUAUAUUAAUGUACAAGUUAAACAAUUAAUUUGAUGUUAUAGUAACCGUAUAAUGUGACGAAUAAAUAA